rnacentral:RNase_P_RNA from 1 species
AGAGGAAGGAAGACAUUCGCGCAACGACUCGUUCGUUGGGAGGAAAGUCCGAGCUCCAUAGAGCAGGUCGCUGGAUAACGUCCAGUCGAGGUAACUCGGAGGAAAGUGCAACAGAAAGAAAACGGCCCCGUACUGCGGCUUCAUUUGCAAUUGAGCAAACCUUAGGGCAUGGCUUGGUUGAGGUGAAGGGGAUUCUUCUCGGUCAAGCUGAAAGGGUGCGGUAAGAGCGCACCGGCAUCACUGGUGACAGUGUUGGCCAGGUAAACCCCGACCGGAGCAAGGCCAAAAAAGAUGUGGGCUGCUCGCCUCAUACAUCAGGGUAGGCCGCUUCACAUUAUGUGAGAGCGAGUAGGUAACUGCUCGUCUAGAUGAAUGAAUGUCACUGCUUUGCAGAACAAAACUCGGCUUAUUCCCUCCUCUAACA